ACUCCUACGGGAGGCUGCAGUGGGGAAUCUUGCGCAAUGGGCGAAAGCCUGACGCAGCAACGCCGUGUGGGGGAUGACGGCUUUCGGGUUGUAAACCCCUUUCAGCAGGGACGAUAGUGACGGUACCUGCAGAAGAAGCCCCGGCCAACUACGUGCCAGCAGCCGCGGUAAUACGUAGGGGGCAAGCGUUGUCCGGAUUUAUUGGGCGUAAAGGGCUCGUAGGCGGCUUGGC
rnacentral:rRNA from 1 species